GUAGGGAAUAUUGGGCAAUGGAUGCAAGUCUGACCCAGCCAUCCCGCGUGCCGGAAGAAUGCCCUCAGGGUUGUAAACGGCUUUUGACGGUGAAGAAUCGACAGGAUGCGUCCUGUUUUGACGGUAGCCGUUGAAUAAGCACCGGCUAACUCCGUGCCAGCAGCCGCGGUAAUACGGAGGGUGCGAGCGUUGUCCGGAUUUAUUGGGUUUAAAGGGUGCGUAGGCUGGAAGGUCAGUAAGCGGUGAAAAGCUGUCGCUUAACGAUAGUCUUGCCGCAGAUACUUCCUUUCUUGGAUGAGGAGGAGGCCACUGGAACGGAUGGUGUAGCGGUGAAAUGCAUAGAUAUCAUCCAGAACACCGAUUGCGAAGGCAGGUGGCUGUACCUUAAUCGACGCUGAUGCACGAAAGCAUGGGGAGCAAACAGGAUUAGAUACCCGAGUAGUCC
rnacentral:rRNA from 1 species